rnacentral:rRNA from 1 species
AACGCUAGCUACAGGCUUAACACAUGCAAGUCGAGGGGCAGCGGGAUUGAAGCUUGCUUCAAUUGCCGGCGACCGGCGCACGGGUGAGUAACGCGUAUCCAACCUUCCGUACACUCAGGGAUAGCCUUUCGAAAGAAAGAUUAAUACCUGAUAGUAUGAUGAGAUUGCAUGGUAUCAUCAUUAAAGAUUUAUCGGUGUACGAUGGGGAUGCGUUCCAUUAGGUAGUAGGCGGGGUAACGGCCCACCUAGCCAACGAUGGAUAGGGGUUCUGAGAGGAAGGUCCCCCACAUUGGAACUGAGACACGGUCCAAACUCCUACGGGAGGCAGCAGUGAGGAAUAUUGGUCAAUGGACGAGAGUCUGAACCAGCCAAGUAGCGUGAAGGAUGAAGGUCCUACGGAUUGUAAACUUCUUUUAUAAGGGAAUAAACCCUCCCACGUGUGGGAGCUUGUAUGUACCUUAUGAAUAAGCAUCGGCUAACUCCGUGCCAGCAGUCGCGGUAAUACGGAGGAUGCGAGCGUUAUCCGGAUUUAUUGGGUUUAAAGGGAGCGCAGACGGGUCGUUAAGUCAGCUGUGAAAGUUUGGGGCUCAACCUUAAAAUUGCAGUUGAUACUGGCGUCCUUGAGUGCGGUUGAGGUGUGCGGAAUUCGUGGUGUAGCGGUGAAAUGCUUAGAUAUCACGAAGAACUCCGAUUG